UACAGAGGUCUCAAGCGUUGUUCGGAUUCAUUGGGCGUAAAGGGUGCGUAGGCGGCGCGGUAAGUCGGGUGUGAAAUCUCGAGGCUUAACUCCGAAACUGCAUUCGAUACUGCCGUGCUUGAGGACUGGAGAGGAGACUGGAAUUUACGGUGUAGCGGUGAAAUGCGUAGAUAUCGUAAGGAAGACCAGUGGCGAAGGCGGGUCUCUGGACAGUUCCUGACGCUGAGGCACGAAGGUCAGGGGAGCAAACGGG
rnacentral:rRNA from 1 species